rnacentral:rRNA from 1 species
GAUGAACGCUGGCGGCGUGCCUAAUACAUGCAAGUCGAGCGAACAGACGAGGAGCUUGCUCCUCUGACGUUAGCGGCGGACGGGUGAGUAACACGUGGAUAACCUACCUAUAAGACUGGGAUAACUUCGGGAAACCGGAGCUAAUACCGGAUAAUAUAUUUAACCGCAUGGUUCAAUAGUGAAAGACGGUUUUGCUGUCACUUAUAGAUGGAUCCGCGCCGCAUUAGCUAGUUGGUAAGGUAACGGCUUACCAAGGCAACGAUGCGUAGCCGACCUGAGAGGGUGAUCGGCCACACUGGAACUGAGACACGGUCCAGACUCCUACGGGAGGCAGCAGUAGGGAAUCUUCCGCAAUGGGCGAAAGCCUGACGGAGCAACGCCGCGUGAGUGAUGAAGGUCUUCGGAUCGUAAAACUCUGUUAUUAGGGAAGAACAAAUGUGUAAGUAACUAUGCACGUCUUGACGGUACCUAAUCAGAAAGACACGGCUAACUACGUG